UUUUUAAGGCCCGGCUUGACAAAGCCCUGGCUGGGAUGAUUUAGUUGGUGUUGGUCCCGCUUUGAGCAGGGGAUUGGACUCUAUGACGUCCUGAGGUCUCUUCCAACCCUAAUCCUCUAUGAUUCAAAGAUUGUGCAGGAAAUGGGUGGCAGAAUAUCAGACAAGAUCUGGUAACCUAAUAUUGACAAGGGUCUAGAGAGGAAGCAUGGUCCAGUGGUUAUGGUGCUGACUGGAGACCUGGGUUAAAGUCUCUGCUCUGACACAAAUUUCCUAUGUGACCUUGGUCAAGUCACUCAAUCGCUCUGUGCCUCAGUUUCCCACUGUAAAAUGGGGUUGUAACCCUGUCCUAUCUCAGAGCGUUGCGAGGGUCACUCUGUUACAGAUCAUGCGGCGCUUGGAUUCUCUGGGGAGGGGGGCCAGGUAUAUAGAUCAGAUAGAUGCUUGGUGUAGGGAGCUGCACAGCUGGAGAGACAGGCUUGCGGAGAACUCCAGAGGAUGCCAAUAGCCAGCCAACCUUGUUGCAGCACCCCUUGGGCUGAGCUAUGGAAGGAAGCUGACUGCAGCGGAUGACGGCUGAGCCACAGCAGGGUGAGUAACCCUACAAAUCUCUAUCUGGUAUCAGCCCCUGGCGGCCUCUGCUCUCCGCGCAGCAGGAUGGCGAUUUGUACUUAUGCUCUCAGGAAGCGGGGUUUUCACUUUCCCAAAUCUGCCCGUCAUGAGGCAUUGAAACAACCCUGCGGCUUGUCCUCCACCUCGAUACACGUUACUCCCUGGGAGCUGCCUACAUGGCAGCGGCAGCUGUGUGAGAUCCCUGCUCAAGGCACACCUCUGAUCCUGGGCCUGGGGAGAGGAAGGAGGGUUAGCUAGUGACCUUGUGGGCUGUAGGAGCAUCCUGAGCAGAGCUGGCCCCGAGAAACACAGUUAAGCCGGAAAUCCAAACAUUGACGUUGGGGCUGCUCAGACCUGGGCUUCAGACCAUUGUGGGGAUGGCACCAGCCAUAAAACUUGACUCCAGACCGGGCCUCGCCCAAGCUCAGGGCCACCGGAUCCCGGGAUUCGUCCGGCUGCCUAGUGUGCUCUGUGGAGCACGUACCUGUUAGCCCUGUGAUCACCAUCCCUUCCCAUGCCGGAAGGCGGGAUGCUCUGUAGGAAAGAGCCUUAGCUUGCUGCACGUGACAUGGGCCUUGCCAAAGGCUGGCUCGGUCACUGAUGGCAGCGUAAGGAAUGCAGCAGGAAGGCUUGGCGAUGUGAACUGGGUGUCUGAAGGGGAUGCCCAGAAUUCUGCACUCAUGGGCACGGAAUGGUCUGGUGCAGAAAAAGGAUCUCCUAGAAGGACCUUGAUUUGUGAUGGGAGCAAAUUGGAUGCAGGUUGUCAGGGCAGUGCCACUAGCUUCCUGUGCACCAGGCCUAUCCUAUACCCUAACACCAACCUCCUCCCUCCCUGCAGGACUUGACCUGUCUGGAUCCUCGCUUGCUCGCAGGUUGGGACCAUGGGGCUGCUUGUCAGACUCUCAGCUCAGUGGCAUCAAUUCCAGCCAUCGUCAUCAACAACUGCGUGGCUCUGUCACCUGGACCUGGACUCAGCACCAUUGAGGAAGAUACGCACCAAAUCUCCUUGCCAAUGCAGGUGAGAAGGGUUUGCUGGCCCAGGAAGCAGUUGUGCAAGACUCCCCCAACUCUAAUCAGUCAACAUGUUUCACCUUUGGAGUGACCCGCCCCCUCCUGGAGGUCCCAGUUAGCCAGCUCCUGCCAGACCCCCCCACACCCGGCCACACAAGCUGCCUGCCCAUAAGUGCAUGGGGUCAGAAACAGCAACAUCAAAUCAGAUUUUUUUCAGACUCAAGCAUGUUGAGUGACUGGACUGUACAAGGCAUCAGAAUGGGAUAAAGGUCUGGCCUUCCCCUCUAGGCCUUUGCUUCAAAUCUAGUCUAGGUUAGGAGCAACUACAUAUCGUUACUUUGUCUGUGAACAGUCUGCGCUUGAAACCAGGAGGGUUUUGAAGCAGAGGGACUAUGAAGUUCAGCUCUGGAUUUGAACAUCCCCAGGGGCUGAAUUGAUCUAGCUUUUCUUUUAUCAUCCAGCUGCCCCUUUUAAAUGACCACGGCCUUAAAAUCUAUCAGAGACUCCUGGGUGGGAGCCAGAGCAGAGUGUAACUACUAAUGCAUCCCAUCAGCAGAUAUUUGAGUAUCACAAUAUUACUGCAACUGGAUUCCCACCAUGAAGCCCUGGGUAAUAACCUGGCAGCUGCCAGGUUGACUUGCCUUGCAUGAGUGGUGCUACUCCAAGGAGGUGCAGACCAUGGAAACGACACCUCCCCAUAGGCACUAGGGAACAUCCCCAACGGCAGUGUAAUAUGACGAUGAGAGCAGGCUUUCCCCAGCAUCAUCAUCAUGUAGCCUCUGAUGGGCACCUCUUAAUUUAAGGGGUCAGCAGGGGGCAAGGGGCUCUCCUGUCAUGCAUGGGAGUGCUGUUCAUGCUGGCAUAUCGAAUGCAAAAUAGUAGGUUAGGGUGGAUCUCCGGUCAUCUUUAUUUUGGAGGGGACGCAUUGGAUCCAGCAUCCUACUAAAAUGAUGAUAGGAAGAUACAAGAGUUUAAUUCAACUGCUGUGUGUGAGAGGGGUUAUUUUGGCAUUGCUUUGCUUUUACAACUUUCUCCCCUGAUUGUGGGUCACACAUGGCAAUGGCGGGGGGGGGGGGAGGAGUGAGUUGUCUCAUCUAAAUUAGACUUGUAAAUGUUUCUUAUUCUGGACACUAGGGCUCCAGGAAUGCACCAAGAAAAGUCAGACGCAUCAGUGGGCGUACUUGGAGCCUGUUUGAAACAAGGCUACACCUAGACUUCACCACUACUGUGGGUAAGGAAAUACAGGGCACGAUAUUCAAGGCAGCACAGCAACCUGCUCGUGCCCAAGGAGAAGCUUAAGAGAUUUCUCACAGCAACAUCCCUUAUAAAGAGGAACAGAUUGAAGCAUCAUCAUCUUUGGUGCCCCUAUACCAACUACAGGGUGGAGUGGGAGCAUCUACCACCUUGACUCUUUCAUGGGGACUGAGCCGAUUUCUAGAACAAGUUCCUGACAACCACCCAACCCACUUCCAUGUGAACGUGACUAUCUUGAGCUAGGUGAGGAGUCGAACAUGAGUUCAAGACUGGGUGUAUUACCUGCACUGAGGUGAUAGUCCUGACUUAAGAAUCUUAUUAGUCGCUGCUCCCAUUGUCUUGAUUCUUAAUGUUACCCUCUCACUGUACAAUUAAAUCAGAGUUGAAAACCAGGGGCUGUGUGAAAGUAUGGCUCUAAAGGGUUUCAUAUUGCUUAGUUCAGGGCAAGAUGACUAUACCUGUAAAAGAAGGUUUUAAAGUCUAUUUACUUUGCAGCCCUGCUGUAGAAAGUCUUUCACUCUUGGUAAGUCUCCCAUAAACACCACACACAGAUUACUAUCUUCACGUAAUCCCUAAGCAAAUGAAGUACAUAGCUCAUGAGCUGAGCAGGACUUAACCAGCUUAACCAGCUGUGACCAACUGUCAGUGUGCUGCACUCCUUGCUGUUCUGCUCACAUCAGCGUAGGUGCCUCAAGGUUUCAAGUGUAGAGAAGGCUGCACAGUCAGUCAGUGGGACAAGAAGCCAGGGGGGCUAAGUUCUGAGUCUCACUCCCCAAAUUAGCCACGUCCACCACAAGACUAGUUAAUAGAGGGGGGGAAAGGUUUCAGAUCAGGGGGAUUGGAAAAUUCACACACGUACACCUUAAAUUUGGGAAAAUUGUUUGUUUGGUUUUUUUGCUAUGGGAGCUGAAAUCCUAACAAAAGCUUUGUCUAGAGGCACCACUGUGUCAGUCAGAUGAAAUACAAAAAAAUAUAUCUAUUCAUCUGCUUUUUAAAAGGGCAUCGUUAAAGAUCAGUGUGCCUAGAAGAGACUUCAGCCUUUAUGUUGUCCUCAAAGUGGUGUGAACAGUCAGCCAUCUAUCUAGUCGCUCCAAUAUGAGAGAGAAAAAAGGCAAAUUAAAGUUUUAUUAGGCCCAGCUAAGCUCUUUGUUAGGAGGAACUGUACCUUCAUUAUUACUUGAAACCUUCAUUCUUUUCAGAGUAGCAGCCGUGUUAGUCUGUAUUUGUCUUCAUUCUUUUGUAUGUGUAGCUAGUUACUUGAAUGAAUUAAGCUGGCACAAUUGCUUUGUUGUUAAACCUAGAAUAAACACCCAUUCAGUAUCCAGUCACAGUUGUGUUACACUUCUGCAAACAGAUUGAGUGAUGUGCUAAAUCCAGAACUAAGACUUCCCCAAGUCCUGGGAUAGGUUAGAUCUGAACUUUCCAGCUUCUGCCUCUCUAGAAAUCCUCUAAGAUGACUUUGACUCACCAGUUGCUUGUGCAAUGGUUAAAAAUGUAGAGGGGGUAGGCUUUGUCCAAAGAUCUUUCAGACUAGACAGACCAAUGGUCAAGCUGAGGAAACCCUACCUCUCGAGUAGCCAACUCAGCAGUAUUAAACAGGUGGGAGAAUUGCCUGCCUUGCUCCUCAGACCAGGCACAGCCUUGCAUGUUCAAAUCCCAGCAGAUAGUGUAGGAGGGAGACUUCUCCCCCGCUCCCUUGGGUGAUCCACCUCAAAGCACGAGAUCUGAAUGUUAGUGUCAGAGUUUGCAUAGUUAUAAGCAUUCGUGUCAUAAAAUCAUCACUCAGCCCUUAAUGUCCAGCCACAGAACUAAGGUGAAUCAGUGAAAAUGGUGUGCCCACUUUUGUGUUACAGUGAGUUAAACUUGAAAGGAGGAUUAGAUUUGUAAUCAGUAAAAGGUGAUUUCUCUGUUCAAACACAGGGAAAAAAAUAUUUCCAUUGAUUGGAAUUUACAGCUAGUCUAAGUGAGAGAUGCUGCUAACAACUUGAGUUUGAUUUAAGGACAUUUACUUUGUAUAUUUGGAUAUGUGAUGUUCAAUAUCAAGAAUCAAGAUCGACUGUCAUGACUCCACCCUCAAAUUCCUGCACCUGUGAAAAAUUUGAACAUCAGGGGAAGGGUGGAAAUCCUUAAUCCAUAAUUUUGGGCAACAGUGACCAUGAAAAUAGACAAAUCAGAAACUGCUUAAAAACAAA